rnacentral:lncRNA from 1 species
CAAAGUCUUUCUGACAUGGCCAUAUGUUACUUUUAAAAUAAGAAAAGUAGUAUUUAAAAAUUUAGGCUUAUCAAAAUUAUCUUUAAAAAUAUUACCAUGUAAUGUUAUAUUUAUUGCUGAAUAAAUAGUAUCAGGUUGACUAGCCAAUUAAAACUAAUAAUUUUCUCCUCAUUACAACAUACGUCAAAGUAUGUUUAAGAUAGAUUAAAAGCAUAUGUUUAAAAAAAACCCUCAAAGUACAGCUUAAAAAUAAGGGGUUUUAGAAACUGGUAUACACUGGAAGAGGGAGGUUUUUAAAAGACUUACAUUCAAGGGAAAGCCAAAGAAGGAAGAAUAAUAGAUUGUUCAACACAAAAAAAUAUACUUGCACAUAAAGGGAAACCUCAGAGGUAUUGCAGGAAAACUCCCACAAUAAAGUAAAUAUCAGAGUAGAGUGAGUCACAGGUAUUUUUUGGUUUCCCAAUGUACAUAACAGUUAUGUUCAUAGUACGUUGUAAUCUAUUAAGUGUGUAAUAGCAUUACGCUUCAAAAGUGUGUAUGUGUAUAUAUAUACAUAUAUAUAUAUUUUGCUUUUUAGGGCCGCACCUGCAGCAUAUGGAAGUUCCUAGGCUAGGGGUCAAGUUGGACCUGUAGCUGCUGGCCUACACCACAGCCACAGCAACAUCAGAUCCGAGCCACGUCUGCAACCUAUACCACAGCUCACUGCAAUGCCAGAUCCUUAACCUACUGAGCAAGGCCAGGGAUUGAACCUGCAUACUCACAGCUGCUAGUCAAAUUCACUUCUGCUGAGCCACGACAGGAACUCCAAAAGGAUGUAAUAUAUGGUAUGAUGAUUACAGUUAAUAAUACCAUAUUACAAACUGGAAAGUUACAAAGAAAACAGAUCUUAAAUGUUCUCACUGGAGAAAAUAAAUGAUAAUUAUGUCACGUGAAGGAAGUGUUAGUAUUACGGUGGGAAUCUUUUUGUAAUAUGUAAGUGUAUCAACAUGUGUAUAACUUAAACUUAUACAAAUAUUAGAUAUCAAUUAUAAUCUCAAUAAAGCUGGAGAAUAAAUAUAAUUUUUAUUCAGAGACUUCCAUGUAUCAAUGAAAAACUAUCUGUCACUCACUGUCACUGAAAUUAACAAUCUUAACACACCUAACACCAUACUCAAAAAUAAACUCAAAAUGGAUUAAAGACCUAAAUAUAAGAUCAGAUACUCUAAAACUGUUAGAGGAAAACAUAGGCCAAACACUCUCUGACAUAAACCACAGCAGUACCUUCUCAGAUCCAUCUCCUAGAGUAAUGACAAUAAAAACAAAAAUAAACAAAUGGGACUUAAUUAAACUUGAAAGUUUCUGCCCAGCAAAGAAAACCCUAAACAAAAUGAAAAGACAACUCACAGAAUGGGAGAAAAUAUUUACAAAUGAAGCGACUGACAAGGGAUUAAUCUCCAAAAUUUAUAAAAACCUUCUGCAGCUCAAUAUCAAAAAAAACAAACAAACAAACAACCCCAUCAAAAAAUAGGCAGAAGAUCUAAACAGACAAUUCUCCAAAGACACAUAGAUGGACAAAAAACACAUGAAAAGAUGUUUAACAUCACUAUUAGAGAAACGCAGAUGAAAACUACUAUGAAACACCACCUUACACCAGCCAGAAUGGCCAUCAUCAAAAUGUCUACAAACAAAAAAUGCUGGAGAGGGUGUGCAGAAAAGGGAACCCUAUUACACUGUUGGUGGGAAUGCAAAUUGGUGCAACCACUGUGGAAAACAAUACAGAGAUUCCUAAGAAAACUAAAAAUAGAAUUACCUUUUGAUACAGCAAUCCAGAGAAAACCGUGACUCAAAAAGAUACAUGUACUCCAAUGUUCACUGCAGUACUAUAUACAAUAGCCAAGACAUGGAAACAACCUAAAUGCCCAUUGACAGAGGAGUGGAUAAAGAAGACAUGGUACAUAUACACAAUGGAAUAUUACUCAGCCAUUAAAAGGAAAGAAAUAAUGGCAUUUGUAGUAACAUGGAUAGACCUAGAAAUUAUCAUGCUAAGUGAAGUUAGCCAGACAGUGAGACACCAACAUCAAAUGCUCUUACUUACAUGUGGAAUCUAAAUAAAGGACACAAUGGGGAGUUCCCAUCAUGGUGCAGCAGAAACGAAUCUGACUGGGAACCGUGGGGUUGUGGGUUCUAUCCCUGCCCUCACUCAGUGGGUUAGAGAUCCGGCGUUGCUAUGAGCUGUGGUGUAAGUCACAGAUGUGGAUCAGAUCUGGCGUUGCUGUGGCUGUGGCAUAGGCUCGUGGCAACAGCUCUGAUUAGACCCCUAGCCUGGGAACCUCCAUAUGCCAUGGGUGCAGCCCUAAAAAGACAAAAGACAAAAAAAAAAAAAACAAAAAAAGGACAUAAUGAACUUCUUUGCAGAACAGAUACUGACUCACAGACUUUGAAAAACUUAUGGUUUCCAAAUGAGACAGGUUGGGGGGGGGGGCGUUGGGGGUUUGGGAUGGAAAUGCUAUAAAAUUGGGUUGUGAUUAUCAUUGUACAAUUACAUAUACAAAAAAAGGACUCCAUACUAAAAAACCAAAAUCUAACACAGUAGCUGGCAACUAAAUAGUUAAUACUUACCCGAAUGAAUCCAUAAUGAUAUAUCAGUUUAAGGAAACACUAAUUUUCUCAGAGUUCUUUUUCUUCAUGGCUGAGUCCUCACCCA